GAUGAAGAACGUAGCGAAAUGCGAUAAGUAAUGUGAAUUGUAGAACUCAGUGAAUCAUCGAAUCUUUGAACGCACAUUGCGCCCGCCAGUAUUCUGGCGGGCAUGCCUGUUCGAGCGUCAUUACAACCCUCAGGCCCCCGGGCCUGGCGUUGGGGAUCGGCGGAAGCCCCCUGCGGGCACAACGCCGUCCCCCAAAUACAGUGGCGGUCCCGCCGCAGCUUCCAUUGCGUAGUAGCUAACACCUCGCAACUGGAGAGCGGCGCGGCCACGCCGUAAAACACCCAACUUCUGAAUGUUGACCUCGAAUCAGGUAGGAAUACCCGCUGAACUUAAGCAUAUCAAUAAGCGGAGGA
rnacentral:misc_RNA from 1 species